rnacentral:tRNA from 1 species
GCCGGUGAGCAAGUGGUUGUGGCUCGGGCUCCAAACCCGAAACCCGCAGGUUCGACUCCUGCCACCGGUGCCA